UACGGGGGGGGCAAGCGUUGUUCGGAAUUACUGGGCGUAAAGGGCUCGUAGGCGGCCAACUAAGUCAGACGUGAAAUCCCUCGGCUUAACCGAGGAACUGCGUCCGAUACUGAAAGGCUUGAAUCCGGGAGAGGGAUGUGGAAUUCCAGGUGUAGCGGUGAAAUGCGUAGAUAUCUGGAGGAACACCGGUGGCGAAGGCGGCAUCCUGGACCGGUAUUGACGCUGAGGCGCGAAAGCUAGGGGAGCAAACGGG
rnacentral:rRNA from 1 species